UGGGGAAUAUUGGACAAUGGGCGAAAGCCUGAUCCAGCCAUGCCGCGUGUGUGAAGAAGGUCUUCGGAUUGUAAAGCACUUUAAGUUGGGAGGAAGGGCAGUUACCUAAUACGUAAUUGUUUUGACGUUACCGACAGAAUAAGCACCGGCUAACUCUGUGCCAGCAGCCGCGGUAAUACAGAGGGUGCAAGCGUUAAUCGGAAUUACUGGGCGUAAAGCGUGCGCAGGCGGUUAUGUAAGACAGAGGUGAAAUCCCCGGGCUCAACCUGGGAACUGCAUCCAAAACUGGCAAGCUAGAGUAUGGUAGAGGGUAGUGGAAUUUCCCGUGUAGCGGUGAAAUGCGUAGAUAUAGGAAGGAACACCAGUGGCGAAGGCGACUACCUGGACUGAUACUGACACUGAGGUGCGAAAGCGUGGGGAGCAAACA
rnacentral:rRNA from 1 species